GCCUGGAACCUUCUGAGUGCAUGAGCUUCCACACCAGCUUUCCCCUCUGCCUUCUUCCCCUCUUCCCUCCUCUCCCCUCCUCAGCACCAGCUUCCCCUCUCCUCCUACCUCCCCUCCUGCUCCAACUGCCAUCCUUGUUGCUUAGCCCUUUCCCUAACAGACGCACCCUAUGUCCCUCCCCUCCCUUCCACCUCCUCUGCAUUUAAAUGAAGCUCUCUCCAGCACCUCCAGCUCUCUCUCCAGCACCUCCAGCUUAGGAGAUGGGGAAACUGAGGCAGACCCCAGUGCAGAUGUUUCUUUCCUGCUGGGAACAAUUAAAGACCCUCAGAGCUGAGAAGGAAGCAGAUAAAUGAUGGGGGCAUGCAUGCAGAUGUAUGUGGAUCCCCAGUCUGCCUCAUUACUUCACAGGUCCCAUGUGAACACUACGACAGAUUCUAUGAGGGACUUGAGCACCCGGGGAGCUUUCUCCCUCAGAUACCAAGGACCAUGUGUGACCAUCCUGGCAGACAGGAAGUCGAUUCUCCUGCUGACAGUGUCCCUGGAGAGGACCCCAUGACCAGAAGAGUGGGCACCCUCCCCUUGCCGAGAGUGAUGCCCAAUCGAAGAGCUCACAGGAAAACCUGGACUUCCACCCAUCAACCACUAGGAUGCGCUCUCCACCACUUACUGUAAGAGCUGGGACAAGGACCCAGAGCUCCAGAGAGACACAAUUCCUGACCAAUGCCCUGGCUGUAGCCUGGUGAGACCUGAGCAGAGGACCCUGCCAAGGGGUGGCUAGAAAGUGUGAGAUAAUAAAUGUGUCUGUUCACCUGGGG
rnacentral:lncRNA from 1 species